CCUACGGGUGGCAGCAGUGAGGAAUAUUGGUCAAUGGACGAGAGUCUGAACCAGCCAAGUAGCGUGAAGGAUGACUGCCCUAUGGGUUGUAAACUUCUUUUAUAAAGGAAUAAAACGAGGCACGUGUGCCUGUUUGCAUGGACUUUAUGAAUAAGGAUCGGCCAACUCCCUGCCAGCAGCCGCGGUAAUACGGAGGAUCCGAGCGUUAUCCGGAUUUAUUGGGUUUAAAGGGAGCGUAGAUGGGUUGUUAAGUCAGUUGUGAAAGUUUGCGGCUCAACCGUAAAAUUGCAAUUGAUACUGGCAGUCUUGAGUACAGUUGAGGUAAGCGGAAUUCGUGGUGUAGCGGUGAAAUGCUUAGAUAUCACGAAGAACCCCGAUUGCGAAGGCAGCUUACUAAACUGUGACUGACAUUGAUGCUCGAAAGUGUGGGUAUCAAACAGGAUUAGAUACCCUAGUAGUC
rnacentral:rRNA from 1 species